AUUGAACGCUGGCGGCAGGCCUAACACAUGCAAGUCGAACGAGUGGCGGACGGGUGAGUAAUGUCUGGGAAACUGCCCGAUGGAGGGGGAUAACUACUGGAAACGGUAGCUAAUACCGCAUACCCUCGGAUGUGCCCAUAUGGUAUUAGCUAGUAGGUGGGGUAACGGCUAACCGAGUCGACGAUCCGUAGCUGGUCUGAGAGGAUGACCAGCCACACUGGAACGUAGACACGGUCCAGACUCCUACGGGAGCCAUCAGGGGGGAAUAGUGCACAAUGGGCGCAAGCCUGAUGCAGCCAUGCCGCGUGUAUGAAGAAGGCCUUCGGGUUGUAAAGUACUUUCAGCGAGGAGGCGUUACUCGCAGAAGAAGCACCGGCUAACGCCGUGCCAGCAGCCGCGGUAAUAC
rnacentral:rRNA from 1 species